rnacentral:rRNA from 1 species
UACGUAGGGAGCAAGCGUUAUCCGGAUUUACUGGGUGUAAAGGGCGAGUAGGCGGGCCGACAAGUUGGGAGUGAAAUCCGGGGGCUUAACCCCCGAACUGCUUUCAAAACUGUUGGUCUUGAGUGAUGGAGAGGCAGGCGGAAUUCCCAGUGUAGCGGUGAAAUGCGUAGAUAUUGGGAGGAACACCAGUGGCGAAGGCGGCCUGCUGGACAUUAACUGACGCUGAGGCGCGAAAGCGUGGGGAGCAAACAGGAUUAGAUACCCUGGUAGUCCACGCCGUAAACGAUGGAUACUAGGUGUGGGAGGUAUUGACCCCUUCCGUGCCGGAGUUAACACAAUAAGUAUCCCACCUGGGGAGUACGGCCGCAAGGUUGAA